rnacentral:rRNA from 1 species
UACGAAGGGGGCUAGCGUUGCUCGGAAUUACUGGGCGUAAAGGGCGCGUAGGCGGAUAGUUUAGUCAGAGGUGAAAGCCCAGGGCUCAACCCUGGAAUUGCCUUUGAUACUGGCUAUCUUGAGUUCGGGAGAGGUGAGUGGAACUCCGAGUGUAGAGGUGAAAUUCGUAGAUAUUGGGAAGAACACCGGUGGCGAAGGCGGCUCUCUGGACCGAUACUGACGCUGAGGCGCGAAAGCGUGGGGAGCAAACAGG